rnacentral:rRNA from 1 species
UGGGGAAUAUUGGGCAAUGGGCGAAAGCCUGACCCAGCAACGCCGCGUGAAGUAUGAAGGCCUUCGGGUUGUAAACUUCUUUGAUCAGGGAAGAAACAAAUGACGGUACCUGAAAAACAAGCCACGGCUAACUACGUGCCAGCAGCCGCGGUAAUACGUAGGUGGCGAGCGUUAUCCGGAUUUACUGGGUGUAAAGGGAGUGCAGACGGCUGUGCAAGUCUGAAGUGAAAGCCCGCGGCUCAACUGCGGGAUUGCUUUGGAAACUGUGCGGCUUGAGUAUCGGAGAGGUAAGCGGAAUUCCAAGUGUAGCGGUGAAAUGCGUAGAUAUUUGGAGGAACACCGGUGGCGAAGGCGGCUUACUGGACGAAAACUGACGUUGAGGCUCGAAGGCGUGGGGAGCAAACAGG